rnacentral:rRNA from 15 species
UGACCUCGGAUCAGGUAGGAAUACCCGCUGAACUUAAGCAU